rnacentral:rRNA from 1 species
UACGUAGGGUGCGAGCGUUAAUCGGAAUUACUGGGCGUAAAGCGCACGCAGGCGGUCUUUUAAGUUUGACGUGAAAGCUCCCGGCUUAACUGGGAGAGGUCGUUGAAUACUGGAAGACUUGAGGCAAUGAGAGGGGUGUAGAAUUCCCGGUGUAGUGGUGGAAUGCGUAGAUAUCGGGGGGAAUACCAGUGGCGAAAGCGGCACCCUAGCGUUAGCCUGACGCUCAUGUGCGAAAGCGUGGGGAGCGAACAGG